rnacentral:rRNA from 2 species
UACAGAGGUCCCAAGCGUUGUUCGGAUUUACUGGGCGUAAAGGGUGCGUAGGCGGUCGGGUAAGUCUGAUGUGAAAUCUCCGAGCUUAACUCGGAAAUGGCAUUGGAUACUAUUCGGCUGGAGAGUUGGAGGGGGGACUGGAAUACUUGGUGUAGCAGUGAAAUGCGUAGAUAUCAAGUGGAACACCAGUGGCGAAGGCGAGUCCCUGGACAACUUCUGACGCUGAGGCACGAAAGCUAGGGGAGCAAACAGG